rnacentral:rRNA from 1 species
UUCAGUCGUGAGGAAGGUGUUAAGGUUAAUAAGCUUAGCAAUUGACGUUAGCGACAGAAGAAGCACCGGCUAACUCCGUGCCAGCAGCCGCGGUAAUACGGAGGGUGCGAGCGUUAAUCGGAAUUACUGGGCGUAAAGGGCACGCAGGCGGUUAAUUAAGUUGGAUGUGAAAUCCCCGGGCUUAACCUGGGAAUGGCAUUCAAGACUGGUUAGCUAGAGUCUUGUAGAGGGGGGUAGAAUUCCAUGUGUAGCGGUGAAAUGCGUAGAGAUGUGGAGGAAUACCGGUGGCGAAGGCGGCCCCCUGGACAAAGACUGACGCUCAUGUGCGAAAGCGUGGGGAGCAAACAGGAUUAGAUACCCUGGUAGUCCACGCUGUAAACGAUGUCGAUUUGGAGGUUGUGGUCAAGAACUGUGGCCUCCGGAGCUAACGCGUUAAAUCGACCGCCUGGGGAGUACGGCCGCAAGGUUAAAACUCAAAUGAAUUGACGGGGGCCCGCACAAGCGGUGGAGCAUGUGGUUUAAUUCGAUGCAACGCGAAGAACCUUACCUACUCUUGACAUCCAGAGAAGCUUUUAGAGAUAGAGGCGUGCCUUCGGGAACUUUGAGACAGGUGCUGCAUGGCUGUCGUCAGCUCGUGUUGUGAAAUGUUGGGUUAAGUCCCGCAACGAGCGCAACCCUUAUCCUUUGUUGCCAGCGAUACGGUCGGGAACUCAAAGGAGACUGCCGGUGAUAUACCGGAGCAAGGUGGGGAUGACGUCUAGUCAUCAUGGC